rnacentral:lncRNA from 1 species
GGGGAAAAAGGCCUCUUGCCUCUUUUGCCUUCCUCUACACAAAGGACGCUGUAGCCUAGCAGCACAUUUAGCUGGCAAACACAGAGGCAAGUGACUAGAAAUAAUCUGCUACUUCCCCAACAGACGGACCACAGCCCCUUUUUCUUUUCUCUCUCUCUCUCUCUUUUUUUUCCCUCUGUCGUGUACCCUAACAGCUAACUAGAAAACCUAGUGACCAAAAAGUUAGGGACUGCAGCAUAGCAGAGUCAGGGAAAGGAUUGAUGACCAGUGGCUUGAGAGAAAGACACAGACACACACAUGGGAUUUAAACAGCCUCAGGUCGCCACCUAACCCACUAGAGAGGAAAUUGAAGGGCAACCUAGCAGCCUUGGGCUGUAUUUGCAGUGGGUGACAGCACCCCCAACCCCACGCCCUGUUCUGCGGCAAGCUGUGAAACAGGAUAGAGAAGUGCCAGUGGGGGUGAAACAGGAGGCUGUGCAAAGACCGAGUGGAGCCAACUGUACACAGGACUGGGAGCAGCGCCGGGCUUUCCCUGCCUGAGGGCGCCACAGCAACCCAUGGUCCCAAAGAUGAGGACUCCAGUAAGGUACCCAGUGGAAGCGCCUCUCAGCAGGCAUCGGCCGACUUCAGGAGGCUCCUGAUCAACAGAAGCAAGACUGUACAGCUGGACCAUCUUCAAGGAGACUGGAAUUAGACUUCCUCUUUUGAUCUGAAGACCAUGAAAAAAUUUGAGGAUAUGUUUCUAAACCAUUACAGAAAUCUUCGAGAAGAAAUGGACAGCAAGCAAAGACACUGUGGAACAAAGUACACUGGCUGGAGAGGGAAAUAAAUUCACAUGAGGUUCGAUAUAAGCACCACUCUCUGGCUCUGAUGCCUCUUUGAUGUGGAGGGCAUGAUGAGCACCUGUGAUCCUAGCACCCCAGAGGCUGAGGCAGGAGGAUCUCCAUGAGUUUGAGGCCAGCCUGAACUGCAAAGUGAGACCCUGUCUGAAGAAAAUAACCAAAAUAAACAAACAAACAAGAAAGUGUCCUUUUUGUGAGUUGUAUACAAACGAUACACCUUUACCAAAAUAACUCAGAAAGGUUUAAAAAUAAAAGAUAAACCAAAGUACAUCAGAAAAUACCAAGUUGAAGCUGUAAUGUAACCAUCAACCAAACUUAUAUUAAAAUAAUGUUAUUGCUGGGUGUAGUGGUCCACACCUUAGGAGGCUGA